rnacentral:rRNA from 1 species
GAUAAGGAUUUCUGUCUCACAACAGUUUAUGGCCCAACUGAUGACAACCAGAAAGAGGUUUUCCUUGACGAAUUAUGCUCUGAUGCGCCUGUCUUUAGUCGCCCCUGGCUCGCCCUCGGAGAUUUUAACCUCAUCUAUGAAGCUAGGGAUAAAAAAAACCUGAAUCUAAACCGACGCCUCAUGGAAAAGUUCAGAGCGGCCCUCAAUAGAGCUGAGCUAUUUGAGAUUAGAAGGAAAAAUAAGAAAUAUACCUGGAGUAAUGAGCAGCACAAUCCUACACUUGUUGCACUUGAUCGUGUGUUCUGCAACGUGAGGUGGGGCACCCUCUUCCCUCAACACCUGCUGCACGCCGCGUCAACCUCUGUAUCCGAUCAUUGCCCUCUGAUCCUGGCAAAUGCAUGCGCUCCCUCCGGCAGAACGAGGUUUCGCUUUGAAGCGUUUUGGCCAAAGUUCCCAGGGUUCCAUGAGACUGUCACCGAUGCUUGGAUGAGGCCAAUCCAAUCUAGCUGCAGGUCCCUGUCUGAUGCUGAAUGGGAGCUGCGCAAAAAACUCAAGUUGCGGCUGCUAGGUUUAGAUACAAUAGAGCGGGCUAGAAAGAAACACAGCUCCCGCAUAAAUUGGCUUAGGGCGGGAGACGUCAACACAGCUUUCUUCCAUGCCAAGAUCAAUGCAAGACGGCGAAAAAACUUCAUCUUAUCGCUAAAGAAAGGAAACUACAGCAUGGCCAACUACAAGGAAAAAGGAGGAGGUGAUCUACGACCACUUUCAUGGCAUCAUAGGCCAGAAGCUCAAGCGAAAUUGCACCAUCAACUGGGAAGCGAUCAACCUGCCGCAGAUUGA